rnacentral:rRNA from 1 species
AUUGAACGCUGGCGGCAGGCCUAACACAUGCAAGUCGAGCGAGCGGCGGACGGGUGAGUAACGUCUGGGAAACUGCCGGAUGGAGGGGGAUAACUACCGGAAACGCUAGCCAAUACCCCAUACCAUCAUAUGUGCCCAGUUGGGACUAGCUGGUAGGUGGGGUAACGGCUCACCUAGGCUACGAUCCCUAGCUGGUCUGAGAGGAUGACCAGCCACACUGGAACUGAGACACGGUCCAGACUCCUACGGGAGGCAGCAGUGGGGAAUAUUGCACAAUGGGCGAAAGCCUGACGCAGCCAUGCCGCGUGUAUGAAGAAGGCUUUCGGGUUGUAAAAGACUUUCAGCAGGGAGGCGUUACCGGCAGAGGAAGCACCGGCUAACUCCGUGCCAGCAGCCGCGGUAAGUC